rnacentral:tmRNA from 1 species
GGGGCUGAUUCUGGAUUCGACGGGAUUUGCGAAACCCAAGGUGCAUGCCGAGGGGCGGUUGGCCUCGUAAAAAGCCGCAAAAAAAUAGUCGCAAACGACGAAACCUACGCUUUAGCAGCUUAAUAACCUGCUUAGAGCCCUCUCUCCCUAGCCUCCGCUCUUAGGACGGGGAUCAAGAGAGGUCAAACCCAAAAGAGAUCGCGCGGAUGCCCUGCCUGGGGUUGAAGCGUUAAAACGAAUCAGGCUAGUCUGGUAGUGGCGUGUCCGUCCGCAGGUGCCAGGCGAAUGUAAAGACUGACUAAGCAUGUAGUACCGAGGAUGUAGGAAUUUCGGACG